UCGCCCCUCACACACACAAGGAGACUCCACUCUCUCCUCUCUAUAUCUGUUUCUAACAGCCAAGCUAAGCUAUCUAUCUAUACACUCUCCCUUUCUCCCUCUAUACUGACUCACCCCUGCACAGCACACCUCCCUACCCUCUCUCCUCCUCCCUACCUCCCCACCCUCUCUCCUCCUCCCUCCUCUCUAUUCCUCCCUCCUCUAUUCCUCCCUACCCUCUCUAUUCCUCCCUACCCUCUCUAUUCCUCCCUCCUCUCUAUUCCUCCCUCCUCUCUAUUCCUCCCUCCUCUCUAUUCCCCCCUCCUCUCUAUUCCUCCCUACCCUCUCUAUUCCUCCCUCCUCUCUAUUCCCCCCUCCUCUCUAUUCCUCCCUACCCUCUCUAUUCCCCCUCCUCUCUAUUCCUCCCUACCCUCUCUAUUCCUCCCUCCUCUCUAUUCCUCCCUACCCUCUCUCCUCCUCCCUACCUCCCCACCCUCUCUAUUCCUCCCUCCUCUCUAUUCCUCCCUACCCUCUCUCCUCCACCCUACCCUCUCUCCUCCUCCCUACCCUCUCUAUUCCACCCUACCCUCUCUCCUCUCUAUUCCCCCCUCCUCUCUCUUCCUCCCUACCCUCUCUCCUCCUCCCUACCCUCUCUAUUCCACCCUACCCUCUCUCCUCUCUAUUCCCCCCUCCUCUCUAUUCCUCCCUACCCUCUCUCCUCCUCCCUACCCUCUCUAUUCCACCCUACCCUCUCUCCUCUCUAUUCCCCCCUCCUCUCUAUUCCUCCCUACCCUCUCUAUUCCUCCCUACCCUCUCUAUUCCUCCCUACCCUCUCUAUUCCUCCCUACCCUCUCUCCUCCUCCCUACCCUCCCUCUUCUCUAUUCCUCCCUACCCUCCCUCCUCUCUAUUCCUCCCUACCCUCUAUCCGUUAUACUCCUCUCCCUCUGACUCUUAGCAUCCUCUGUCUACUGCUGAAUAAGACAACAUCUCUGGAGAGAGAGGAGAGAGGAGAGAGAUGCAGUUGA
rnacentral:lncRNA from 8 species